UUGCCACCUGAAAUAUCUCUUUUUCUGUUGAAUAUCUGUCUCUUCCACAGGAAUGUCACCUCCUGAGAUCAGGGACUCCGCUUUGAUAUUCACUGCAUCCCAAGUGCCAAAAAAUACCUCCUGACAUACAUUUGUAUUGAAUGAGUGAUUAGAUGAAUAAUGCUGAACUCUUGAACUAAAAAGCCACAGUUGGGCCAUGGGGAAGCAAGGAAGGCGUCAGCAGAGAGAAGCAGGGAGAGGAAGCAGACACAUUCCUCCCGGAGAGUGGAGAUGCCAGAGAGAGGGGAGAAGCACUGCUCCUGAUGGCCAAGGCCAAGUCCCAGGGGGUCCAGCUGUUUCCUGCCUGCGAUACGACAGCACCACAGACAUACACGCACCAUGCACACACAGACCACACACACCUCAUACACACUAUAUACCCACAGACUGCAGACACCUCACACAUACACAGACCACACACACCUCACACCUCACACACUACAUACCCACAGACCACACACACCUC
rnacentral:lncRNA from 1 species